GAGGGUAUAGCUUAAGUGGUAGAGUGCAUGCUUAACAUGAAAGCUAAAAGUCCUGGGUUCAAUCCCCGGUAUCUUCU
rnacentral:tRNA from 1 species